rnacentral:rRNA from 1 species
ANAGUUUGAUAAUGGCUCAGAAUGAACGCUGGCGGCGUGCUAAACACAUGCAAGUCGUACGAGAACGCUCUAGCUUGCUAGAGCAAGUAAAGUGGCGCACGGGUGAGUAACGCGUGGGUAAUCUACCUUCGAAUUGGGGAUAACGUUGCGAAAGCGACGCUAAUACCGAAUAACAUCCUUAGAACCUCGGUUUUUAGGAUCAAAGGUGGCCUCUACAUGUAAGCUACUGUUUGAAGAUGAGCCCGCGUACCAUUAGCUUGUUGGCAGGGUAAUGGCCUACCAAGGCAACGAUGGUUAGCUGGUCUGAGAGGAUGAUCAGCCACACUGGAACUGACACACGGUCCAGACUCCUGCGGGAGGCAGCAGUGAGGAAUUUUGCGCAAUGGGGGAAACCCUGACGCAGCAACGCCGCGUGAGUGAUGAAGGCUUUCGGGUCGUAAAGCUCUGUCAAGUGGGAAGAACCUGCAGUAUGUUAAUAUCAUAUUGCACUGACGGUACCACUGAAGGAAGCACCGGCUAACUCCGUGCCAGCAGCCGCGGUAAUACGGGGGGUGCAAGCGUUAUUCGGAAUCAUUGGGCGUAAAGAGCACGUAGGCGGCUUGGUAAGUCAGAUGUGAAAGCCCGGGGCUUAACCCCGGAAGUGCAUUUGAUACUGUCAAGCUUGAGUAUGGGAGAGGGAAGUGGAAUUCCUGGUGUAGAGGUGAAAUUCGUAGAUAUCAGGAGGAACACCGGUGGCGAAGGCGACUUCCUGGACCAAUAC